AUACAAACGUGAGAAAUCUUUUACAACUUUAAAUGGGGACAUUAACAGUCAUCAAAAUGUUCUUGAUUCUUGGGAAUAGGAUAUCAAAUGGAAGGUGCAAAUGCACAUCAUUGUAAAAUGUGAUAAAAAGGUUAACACAGUUAAGCACUUGCUAUUUAAAUAAUUUUCUUUUGUUUCUGUGGCCAACACAAAUGAUUUGAGUACGACUAAAAUAAUGUGCAAUUACAUUCGGUGAUUAUUUUGAAUUUCCUUGGGAGCUGGAUAUGGGACCUUACACAGCAGCAUGCAUUGCAAAGCUGGAACAGAAUAAUUUCAAGUCAGAAAAUCAGUUGAUUCAACAGAAAGAGUAACCUGAAAAUAAAACUACAAAGAUCACAAAAUACAGACUUGCAGAUGUGCCUGUACACAGUGGUCUAGCAAGCAGUGGGUAUUAUUAUUCUUAUAUUAUUCAAACAAUGGUAGGAUGAUGACUGCGAUUCCUGGUAUAAAUUUGAUGAUGAAGAUUUAGCAGAAUUUAAAAUGGAUGAUGAUCAAGAAAUUUUAAAAAUCAGUGUUUGGAUGGAGAGUACAUAAAUAUAUUUGAUCAUACGCUGAAGUGCAUGUCACAUAGACGGUAAAAGAGCUGGUAAAUUGCUUAUAUAAUUUUCAAACAAUAAACAAAUGGACAUGAUAGAUGAAGAUGAUGAGAUGAUAAGAUAUAUAUUAUGGCUAACUCUUGUGAGACCUCAUCACAUUAUUAUGUCACCAGCCUUUGAGAAAAGUGUAUACUAACAAAAUGUGACACUUACGCAAAAGUGAAAGCAAUAAAGUUGAGAGCAUUUGCAGUUUGUGAAAGAACUGCUUAUAUAUAUUGGUGUUUAUUGAAGUCCUGUUCAUGAGCAGAAUUAUUUUUCUGCCUGCAUCAAAUUAAAUGACUAUCAUUAGCAUACAGUUUGCACCUAUAUUCCUCAUUACCACUGGAUUUUACAUUAAAAAAAUAGCUUGUGGUCCUGCCAGUGACUG
rnacentral:lncRNA from 1 species